CGCUGCCGGUUCACCGCCCGUCGGUGUCUAACUGGCAUGCACGUGCGGACGUCCUGCCGGUGGCCCGACCGGCGCGGGUCUCGCACCCGUCGUCCGGGGAAGGCCUAUCAUACCCGUCGCGGUGCUCUUAACCGAGUGUCUCGAUGGGCCGGCACGUUUACUUUGAACAAAUUAGAGUGCUUAAAGCAGGCAGCAUCCGCCUGAAUACCGAGUGCAUGGAAUAAUGGAAUAGGACCUCGGUUCUAUUUUGUUGGUUUUCGGAAUCCCCGAGGUAUGAUCAAUAGGGACAGACGGGGCAUUCGUAUUGCACGUUAGAGGUGAAAUU
rnacentral:rRNA from 1 species